CCUUGUACACACCGCCCGUCACAUCACGAAAGUGGGCAACACCCCGAAGCCGGUGGCCUAACCCUUGUGGAAGGAGCCGUCGAAGGUGGGGCUCGCGAUUGGGAUG
rnacentral:rRNA from 1 species